GACAGAGGUUGCAAGCGUUGUUCGGAAUUACUGGGCAUAAAGCGCACGUAGGCGGUCUGCUAAGUCAUGUGUGAAAUCCCCCGGCUCAACCGGGGAAUGGCGCCUGAUACUGGCGGACUCGAGAUCGGUAGGGGUGAGUGGAACUCCAGGUGGAGCGGUGAAAUGCGUAGAUAUCUGGAGGAACACCGGUGGCGAAGGCGGCAUCCUGGACCGAGAUUGACGCUGAGGCGCGAAAGCCAGGGGAGCAAACGGG
rnacentral:rRNA from 1 species